UAGGGAAUCUUCCACAAUGGGCGAAGGCCUGAUGGAGCAACGCCGCGUGUGUGAUGAAGGGUUUCGGCUCGUAAACACUGUUGUAAGAGAAGAAUGACAUUGAGAGUAACUGUUCAAUGUGUGACGGUAUCUUACCAGAAAGGAACGGCUAAAUACGUGUCAG
rnacentral:rRNA from 1 species